rnacentral:rRNA from 1 species
AGUGGGGAAUAUUGGACAAUGGGCGCAAGCCUGAUCCAGCCAUGCCGCGUGGGUGAAGAAGGCCUUCGGGUUGUAAAGCCCUUUUGUUGGGAAAGAAAACUUUCCGGCUAAUACCCGGAGAGAAUGACGGUACCCAAAGAAUAAGCACCGGCUAACUUCGUGCCAGCAGCCGCGGUAAUACGAAGGGUGCAAGCGUUACUCGGAAUUACUGGGCGUAAAGCGUGCGUAGGUGGUUCGUUAAGUCUGAUGUGAAAGCCCUGGGCUCAACCUGGGAAUUGCAUUGGAUACUGGCGGGCUAGAGUGCGGUAGAGGGUAGUGGAAUUCCUGGUGUAGCAGUGAAAUGCAUAGAGAUCAGGAGGAACAUCCGUGGCGAAGGCGACUGCCUGGACCAGCACUGACACUGAGGCACGAAAGCGUGGGGAGCAAA